GGGUGCAGUACACUAAGUGAACCCAGAUUCUGGAUUCUUGGUGUCCACAGCCUAGCUGAUACGAGAUGGCCCAUAGGACACCUGGUUUAGGUAGAAGGAGCCUCCUCAAAGGCAGUGCUGGGCACCCACGGGUGUGCUGGAUACUGGAGUUUGAGAGGAGGGAGGUGCUGGGGCCAAAGGAGACACUAGAAAAAUGGUAGAUGGGACAGGUAAGUGGCAGAGGUGAGGGGAUAAGUUAGAAUGUAAAAGGGCAGUAAUUAGGGGUGAGGGAAAGGAGAUAGGGGACCCUAGGAGGUAGAGUGGGACCAUGUCGUGAGGCAGUUGAAGAGUUGAGGAAAGGUUUUUCUGGGCCCUACUGCUCCCCUCUGCUGCAGGUAAGUCAGAGCAGCUUUACCACAGCUUCAGGCCACGAGAGCCCCUUCACCCGCCCUGCUGCGCCGUAGGCAGAGGCUUAUAAAGAAAUGGGUUCCGGGCCAGGUGUGGUGGCUCAAGCCUGUAAUCCCAGCACUUUGGGAGGCCGAGGCGGGUGGAUCACGAGGUCAGGUGAUCGAGAUCAGCCUGGCCAACAUGGUGAAACCCUGUCUCUACUAAAAAUAAAAAAAUUAGCUGGGCGUGGUGGUGGGCGCCUGUAAUCCCAGCUACUCGGGAGGUUUAGGCAGGAGAAUCGCUUGAACCUUGGAGGUGGAGGUGGAGGUUGCAGUGAGCCGAGAUCGCGCCAUUGCACUCCAACCUAGGUGACAAAGCUACACGCCAUCUCAAAAAAAAAAAAAAAAAGAAAUAGGGUUACAAAAGGAUCCCAGCUCCGGGGCAUCAGCCUGAGUGCGCUUGAGCUGCUCCAAACCUGGCCCUUCCCGACUCCUCUAGCAUCGCCACCCGCAUGGCCCUGGAACUCCCACGGCGGCGGGGGCGGGCCCGUGCCUGCUGUGCCCCGACUUCCCACACCAGCCGCGCCCACCGCAGGUGGGACUCAGGUUCGCCCUCUGGGCCAGGUCCUUCACGAGGAGGGAGCUACCCUUCGCCAGAAGUUUGUGAGAAUGUGGCCGCCCUUUUCCUGCCCUCUGCCCCAUGUGGGUGGGGGGGCCUCGUGGCCCGGCCGGCGCCCCGUCCCCUUCUGCAUGUCUGAGGCCACCGGCAACCGCCGCCCCACUCCAGAUUUGCCCCCGCCCUGUUUUGAAAGCCCCUUAUUUAUAACUUUUAUACUUUGUGCAGGUCGCGGCGCUUCCCGCCUCAUCCUCGGCUGCAUGGGGCGGGGGGGCUGUUUUUAACGUGCCCGUUUGUACUGAUGUAUGAACUUGUCAAUAAACAC
rnacentral:lncRNA from 1 species